GAUGAACGCUAGCGGCAGGCUUAAUACAUGCAAGUCGAGGGGCAGCAGCUUUGUAGCAAUACAAGGGCUGGCGACCGGCAAACGGGUGCGGAACACGUACGCAACCUUCCUUUAACUGGGAGAUAGCCCACCGAAAGGUGGAUUAAUAUCCCAUAGUAUAUUUGAGUGGCACCACUUAGAUAUUAAAGCUCCGGCGGUUAAAGAUGGGCGUGCGUCUGAUUAGGUAGUUGGCGGGGUAACGGCCCACCAAGCCCACGAUCAGUAGCUGAUGUGAGAGCAUGAUCAGCCACACGGGCACUGAGACACGGGCCCGACUCCUACGGGAGGCAGCAGUAAGGAAUAUUGGUCAAUGGACGCAAGUCUGAACCAGCCAUGCCGCGUGGAGGAUGAAGGCCCUCUGGGUUGUAAACUUCUUUUCUUUGGGACGAAACCCCUGUUUCUACGGGGACUGACGGUACCAGAGGAAUAAGCACCGGCUAACUCCGUGCCAGCAGCCGCCGUAAAAC
rnacentral:rRNA from 1 species